GUGAAUCAUCAAAUUUUUGAACGCAAAUUGCACUCUCUGGUAUUCCGGAGAGUAUGCCUGUUUGAGGGUCAGUUUAAUUAAAAAUGGGUGUGUUUGCACCCUUUCGUGGUGACGCACGGGAUUUGGGCCGCCUUGCCUUUGGUUAAGGUAACUAAAAUUUUGCAUGUUUUUUUUCGACCGAAUUAAAAUGAUUUUACGUAUCUUUGCGUUA
rnacentral:misc_RNA from 1 species